GUGAAUAAAUCUUUUUCUUUUUUUAAGUUAAUUAAGUUUUACACACCCCAGCUGCAGCUGCCUUUCUCGCUGGUCAGAAGUUGCAUUCAGAGUGCGCCAGUUAAAAGUUGCAUGCGGCGACCGAUAUUAUGGGCCACUAGUGGAGUGUUUUAUAGUAAAUACUGUGUAACUGUCAAGGGACAUAAAAGAAUAGGACCAUAAAAGAAUAGGACCAAUGAACAGGCGUCAACAAAAAAAUGCAAUCCGACAAUAAAAAAACAGAACUUGACCCUUAAAUGACAUUACAGUCGUUUGUGCAAGUGCAUGUUUGUUUUCUUUUCAAAUACUGAAACCGGCAAAAAGAUAUUCGAAUAUUCAGAUAUUCGGAACAGCCCUACUACCCGUCACAACUAUGGCUGUCGGGAUAGGUUUGGAAAACAUACACAACAUAAUGUUUGUAGCAGCUGAAUAUUACUGCUGGUAAAACAUUGGAAGGAAAAAAUCCAUUCUAGUUUAAACUCACUUUAUUCACAUUUCUCUGUCAAGUUAUUGGGAAAGUUUUCAGAAUGAAAAACAUUUAUUUCCUGCUACAAAAUAAUUUCGAUCAUUCUUUUUCCUUUUUACAAUGUAGAGUAUUUUUUUAUACUGAUAAUUUUUUUUAAAGGAGCUUACUUAAGUUAACCCAUCGUGUGUUUUCUUACGUAUUAACUGUGAAUAUUUGAAUCCAAUUAUCUGCAUUAGUUACACAGAAACAUUUAAGUUUUACAGUCUGACGUGAAUGUAAUCUUUUGCACUUUAUUUACUAAUACAAUUUCUUAACAAAAUUAUAAAAGUGACAGUUAAAAUGUAUAAUGCUACAAGCAUUAAAUUUCAUAGACCAUGUCACAUGUGGUGUCAUACCAAACAUUUUAGCAUCUUUCAUGCUAUUUUCCCACAUUGAACAGUUUGUCUGCGCAUAAUAUUUCAUAUGCAUUAUAUUUCAUUCAUAUUUCAAUAUAGAAAAAUGCAGUGCAAGAGAGCAUGGUUGACCGAAAGUUGGCACCAAAACAUCAAUUUUGUAAACAAAUGUGACAUGGUCUAUACAGAGUGUAACAGUACACUUUACAUAAUGCAAUAAAUGACAGAAAUAGUAUUUGCACAUGGAAUAGUUCUCCAAGUGAAUGUGUCGUUGAGAAGUACAACGAAAAAUAAUUAUUUGACAAAGUUGAAAGUUUUUAUUGUGCAGGCUUGCGAAGGGAACUGUGAUGACACAACCAAUAUUGUUCGUUAGUGUCAUCUACAGCAGCCCAAAUUCCCUGAGAAUUAGUGAUUAUUAGGGUUUUAACAAAAAGUUACCUGAACUAAACUAUUUAAAAGUGCCAGAUUUCUCAUAGACUUAAAAUAUUUGAAAACAUCAAAUCACCCAACACCAACUACUUGACAUUAUUCAGAACUUUGUGAAUUCACUAUUAAAAAAGAAGGGAUCUUGUGAAUAUA